AGGUCAAGCCGGGCGCGUGAGGGGCCCGGACCUGAGGCCCCAGAGAUGGGCGGUGCCCUGUGGGGGCGCGCCCCGGAAAGCUUCGAGCCGGGCGGGAACCGACCCCACCCCUCUGCACCUCAGAGUUUUAACAUCAACAUAUUUGUGAGAACCAAAUUUGUCUUAUGAGCCAUACUGCCUCAAAAUAUUUCUCCAUCUCAUCAGAUUGUAUUAAAUCUUAACUGGAUUAAACCCUAAAAGUAAAUAUUGUAUAAACUACAAUGUAUUAUAUACUCUGGGCUUCAUGUAUUUGAAAAGUUGUAAACUUCUAUUUCUUCUGUGUUUUGUACUUCUACUCUAGUAGUUUCAUCAAUUUCUGUAAUAAAAGCAUAUCAGUUUUUAUUAUACAAUUAUUUAUUAUAGAACUAUUAUUUACUUAAGUACCAUUGUUCUUUCUCUUAGACUGUGCCAUCAUGAAUUUUGGAGAAUCUGCCAAUUGUGAUAUGAUGGCACUUCAUACACAGUGUAUGCUAGAGAUCUCUUCGUUGUCAUCACUUUCCAGUAAUAUGGGCAGCAGGAACAUGUUCAUCCAUGGGAAUGUCCCUCCUAAAUUUUGGAGACAAAGCCCUCAUUCUUUAUUAAGCCAGAAAUUCUUAAGGCUAGUAUCUCUCAGUAGUAGUUACUUAUGCAGCUUAAGAAAAGUAUUCACUCUUCUUGACUACCAAUGAAUAAAUUAGAUACUGAGAGCUAUUUGUUAGUACUUCCACCAUUUCUUGGGAGUAACUUAAACUAGAAGGUACAUUUAGAAUUUCAGGACAUCAGGUAACAAAAAUUAAGUUACUGCCUCUCUGCCUUUAUAACAAGGGUAUCUUGUCUCCAGUGUCCAGAACAGAACAUGACACAAAGUAUGCACAAAAUGUGUUUGUUGGAUAAAUUAAUGAAUGAAUGGGCAAAUAACUCUUUGUGUCCUAUGUGCAGUUUAUACUGUACUCUCCUCUUGGGAUGGCUUAUUGGAAAGAUCAUGAACACACUUUGGAGACUUGGAGAUCUGAGUUCAAAUCCUCCCUCUGCAGAAUUGAGGUCUCAGGCAAGUUUCUUAACUUUUCUAAGCUUUAAUUUCCUCAUUUGUGCAACGAUGAUUACAACUACUUCAACAGCUUAUUAUGAGAAUUAAAUGUGAUGAAAUAUUAGAUAGUAUCUAAAACAUAGUGAGCGAUUAGCAAGCUAAAAUUCCUUUACCAUAAACAUGAAUAUAUUUGUUAACACUAGCUGCUACAACAAAUAAAUACAAAAAUCUAUCCUGGCACACAGCAAUAGAAGUGUAUCUCUCAUCCAUGUAAAGUUCAGAAUGGCAGGCAAGUCUCCUCUAGGCAUUUAUAAGAAUAAAGUUUCUUCCACGUUAGAGUUCUGAUGCAUUCAAUACAUAAUCACAACAUCAAGCUGGCAGAAAGGGGCAAAACAUGGAGGAUCACUCAAGGAAGGCUUUGUGCACAUCACUUCCAUUCCCAUUCCACUGGCUAGAACACUCCCAAGCCACCAAACUACAAGGCAACCCAUGAAAUGGAGUCUAGCCCAGGAAGAAAAAGAAAUUAGUUUGAUGAACAGCCAGCAGUCUCUGCCACAGUUGGUUUCUGAAAUAACCAUGCUAAGUCUAUAGCUGUAAUUAAUGAAUAUUCUAAAUGAUUAAUAGAGCAAUUUCCAAAAGAACAUAGUUUAAAUCCAGGUAUAAGUAGCAGAAGAGUAAGUUACAAUAGUUAUCGAUACUGUCUUUUCUCUUUUUUACAGCUAUCUUUCUUAAGGUAUAGGUCUGUAUUAGUAACAUGAGAAUACCUGAAGAACAAGUAUGUCACUAAUCUGUUGCCAUGUGCAAAGGGGAUACUUAAAGCUCUCUGGAAACCUCCCUCUUGUUUUAUAUUGGCAGACUUGUUUUCCUGCUGUGUUACUAGAGUGUGAAUGAAAAAUUUUUCAUUCAUAUUGUCAUGUUCUCUCUUAGAUGGCUAAGUCUGUUAGCAACUUAAGCAAUCUCUGGACAUUAUAUUUAGUAUUUCAGAACACUUGGGUCACAGAAAGUUACCACAAUUAAAUAACUGCUCGUGGAGAAUUGACCUAGAAUUCAUGUUCUGAUUCCAAAGCAACAAGCAUACACAUUAUUAUUCGGACUGCGGGUGAAUAGAGGUAUGCAAUAAUACUAAUACCUACAUAUUUUAAUCCCAGAGCCUCAUUUUAGGAUAUAAUUUUAACUUCCUGAGGUGGUGUGCAUUUCCUGUUUCAGAACCUGCUCUGUGAGGACUCAACUUCUUAAUACAACUGCUAGCAGUGAAAUAAUGACAGUAAAUUUCCAACCCUCACCUAGGUAAUUACCUCAACUCCUUCCUCAGUUAUCUCAUGUAAAUACAGUUCUGUUCCAGAAAGUUUCCCCAUCAAUUUUAAAACACAACUUCUUCUACUAGUGAAGAAGUAAUAAAGUACUAAAAUACUUUCCGAGUCAACUGGAAAGCUUCAGAUCUACACCUGACUUUUUUUUAACCCACUACAAAGUCCUUCAACUGUUGAAUUUGUAAUAUUUCAUUAAAUAAUACUAGUUUGCUUUUUAUAGUAAGAGGAAAUUCAGUAUCAGAAUUUUUCUAUCGACCUUUAGUUCCUAGAUAGAACUAUGGCCACUUUCAGCUGCAAACACUAUCUCAAUCAGAAAUUAGAUUUUAAACAAAACACUGAAUUUGAUUUAGAAUUCAAGCCUUCUUUAGGCUGAAAGCCUGUAUGGGGAAAACAGGCAAACUCAGCUUCUCUAUUUCUCCAUCUCGUUUUCCUCUUACCCCCCACAAGUCAGUCUCUGGAUGAAGGACAAAACAAUUCUUAUCUAGCUGGUAAUGUUGUUAUCCAGUUUUGCACUCUCUUGGCCUGACACACAGAACCCCCCAUAGGAUUUACAGGACCCAGUGCAAAACGGAAAUGCUGGGUCCCUUGUUGCAAAAUAAUUAAGAAUUUCAAGACAGCAAAGCAGAGGAUUAAACAAAGUACAGGUCUCUGUGCACAGGUCUGCACAGGUCACUGGCCCAUGAAGCUACUGAUAUGUGUUUAAGGUCGGCUCUCCAGGGUCUCUUUGGAGAGCUGCUUCUGGGCUUCUCUAAUUGCAACCACUACAAUGUGGGUAAUGCACCUUUCCUUUUAGCUGUCCACUCCUAAUCACCCCUCAGCUCCUGUUUCCUCAGCCCUGUUGUAUCCUCCCUACUGGAGUCCUUUCACCCUCUGGCAGAAGGUCUCCUAGGCAGGACUCAAGAUGGCUCCAGCCAGCUCCUUCUCUCCCAUGGGACUUCACCUGGUCCUUGGGAAAUACUCACACAUCCUUUGCCCUGUAGGCCAUUCUCUCCCUCUUGAUUCUGCCACAGAAACAGUUGGGCAACCUGCUUCCCAGUUUCUACAGAAUCCCUUCAUUGCAGGGAACAAACACAUCCCAAGCUCUCACAAGAUCCCACAGAAGCCCAUGGAAGCCCCCUGGCAUGAGCUGAAGAAGCAUCCUCCAUGCCCUCCCCACUGGAGUUGCUCUUCCUUGCCAUCUAGAGAACUAGAAGAUCAUUGCCUCAGGAAAGAGAUGGCAGAGCAGAUUGAUGAGGAAAGGCUUCCUUUCCUGGCUUUUUAGUUUCAGAAGUCUAGCCCUCAGGGCAAAAUGGAAAUAACUCUAGGGCUUAAAACAGCAGACUUGGGAGAAUAUGUGGUGCCAAGAGCAAGGCCUCGCUCACUCGCUCACUCGAUACCACCACCACCACUGGAAAGCUCCUCAGGCUAGCAGGAGGAAGAGGAUAUGGGAGUAGAUGGCUGGGUUUCUGGGGAAGGGCCAGCUUUACCCCCUGCCCUAUGGGGCCAGCCCGAGUGAGAAAAUGAGUAAAUAACCUGGUAACCUUCAAGAUUCCAGAAAAAGAGAAAAGUUGUGUUUCGUUCCUUGUGAGAGCAUGGAUGGAUGGAAGGACAAGAGGUUGACUCUUUCCUGUGGUUAAUGUAGGCAUUCAGCCCCCACAGAACUUCCUGGGACCCAGCAUGACUUGGACAGCAACACAACAAUUCCUGUGUGACCAGGAUUUCUGAGAUUUAGGCAGACAUCUGAGAUCCCCGCGCUCAACUGUGCUGCAGGAUUAGCACUGCAGUUCUAGCACAUCAGCAGAUGACACUGAAGGGACUGAGGGACAGCUCAGCAGCAAAGGGCAAUUGAGAUGACCGACAUCUCAGAGGAUGCCAGUGUGUACAACCAAGACUAAUAGCCCUUUCCCUUCUCGUGAACUGUUACCACGUAAGCCAUUCUCCCCACUGCCUUUGCUCCAGAACCUCAUCACAACCCCAGGCAGAAAGGAAGUUUCUAACCACCCAGCCAAAUGGAGACUCAAUAUUGAAACACUUGAAUUCAGUUCAGUUCUAGAAACACUUGAAUUUGGGAAAUUAAAUUCAUGCCCACCAUAUCUAUUCUAUGAUAUUCAAUUCUUAACCAUCAUUAAAUAGGAAUUGCCAUUCCCACAUUACAAGUGAAGAAAUAGAUUCAGAGAGAUUAAGGAAUUUUUUUAGGCAGGCAAGGGACAAAGCCGGCGCUCACACCAAGGUCUGUUUUACACCAAAGCCAGUGUUCUUUCUACCAGACCAUUUUCAAAAAGUUUGACAGAGGAGAAGAAUAAUAACCAGAAGGGGAUCCAGGGUGAUGAGACUUUUUUUUUUUUUUUAAGAAUGACAGAAAUUAGACAAUAUAAAUGGGGAAAGGAAAAAGAGCUAGUUGAGGGAAAGACAUAGAAAAUGAAGGAAAAGGGAUUAUUUAUCAAGGAAUGAUUCUAAAGGAUAUGGGAGAUGAAUAAAGAUAAAGGGAUAAACCUUGAAUGCAAGGUAGGUACUUCUCCAAGGUAAGAGUGAACGUGGAAAGGAUUUACAUAGAUAGAAAGAGUUUUGUAGACAAGUGUGAAAAUUUUGACGGCAUCAGUGCUUCAUGACAUGAAGGAGGAAGGGCCAAGUGCAAUACCUGUAGGAUGCAUGUAGGAUGCAAACUGAAUCAUAACUUGCAUUUUAGUGCCUUGAACAGAAGGUGGUAUAUGUCAUGCAUUUGAUUGAGUUUCUUCAACACUGUAGUGGCAUUAUGCCCAGAUCUGCAACCCGUCCUUUGAGGACUGAAGCAGACAUUUCUCCAGCUGCUCAGAAUGUUGGUCAUUGACACUUCUUAAUUCCCCUUCCCAGGAAUUGUCCUCUACUGAGAGAGCAGGUUUACCCCAGAUUACAUCCCCUACCCAAUGACUGUUCCAUCUGGGAUGUAAGGUCUAGCCCCUUGCCUCAGUUCAGGAAGCCUAUAGGACCAUCCAUAUCCUCAGACUUCUCUACUGCUCCCCCAUCACAACACACACACACACACACAUACACACACA